rnacentral:rRNA from 1 species
AUUGAACGCUGGCGGCAUGAUUUACACAUGCAAGUCGAACGGUAACAGGCCGCAAGGUGCUGACGAGUGGCGAACGGGUGAGUAAUGCAUCGGAACGUGCCCAGUCGUGGGGGAUAACUACUCGAAAGAGUAGCUAAUACCGCAUACGAUCUAUGGAUGAAAGCGGGGGACCGUAAGGCCUCGCGCGAUUGGAGCGGCCGAUGUCAGAUUAGGUAGUUGGUGGGGUAAAGGCUCACCAAGCCAACGAUCUGUAGCUGGUCUGAGAGGACGACCAGCCACACUGGGACUGAGACACGGCCCAGACUCCUACGGGAGGCAGCAGUGGGGAAUUUUGGACAAUGGGCGCAAGCCUGAUCCAGCAAUGCCGCGUGCAGGAAGAAGGCCCUCGGGUUGUAAACUGCUUUUGUACGGAACGAAACGGCUCUGGUUAAUACCCGGGGCUAAUGACGGUACCGUAAGAAUAAGCACCGGCUAACUACGUG